rnacentral:lncRNA from 10 species
AGAGGUUGGUCAAAACACAACACACACACACACACACACACACACACACAAAUGUGGCUGGAGAGAGUGGACGGGCAGGCUCUGCAGCUGUUCAAACUUUCUCGGCCACCUUCCCAGGCCAUGAGGACUCCCCACUCAUGGGCCUGUCGGAACCGUGCUGGGGAAUGUGAGGGCUCUGCCACGGGCCCUGCAGGAAAACGUCUGUUUCCAAGGCGGACGGAGCAUCUGGAAGCUCCGAGCAGCCACGCGCUUAUGCUCAGGCCUCAGCCAAGUGUCACCGGGGCCCUGGGGGCACCAUCUGGCUUUCACUUCCUCGAGGCUCCUGUCCCCUUCACUGAAUAAAUCCUGCAUGUUUAGAGCCUGGGUCACAGCAGAUCCAGCGGGUGUGUUGGGUGCAGCAGGUGUGCAUCCCAGGGGGCGCUGAGGCGAACCUACCAGAACCUUCUCUUCCUGCUGCCCUGGGAGGCUGUGUCUGCCCAAGCCAGCCACCGGGCCGGGUCCACUGCCUGGGGAUGGCUGUCCCCUGAGCUGCUGCUCUGUCCCCACCACGGAGGCUCGUCCAGCUGCCCGGGCAUGAGUCAUGGGCCAGCCCUGGGCGCUGCUGCGGAUUCAGAAGCUCGAGCCGUUUCCUGCAGAUAAGCGACAAGCGCCAGGGAAACCUGGCGGGGGUGGCCGCCCUGUGAGAUAGCGCUUCCUUCAAAGCCCCCCAAGCACUAAUUAGCCAUUCCAAGCAUAGUUUCAACAGCAUUUAGGGAUUUCCUCAUCAAAAUAAACUUCCUCCCAUGUUAUCUUCAUUUUUGGCAUCUGAUGGGAUCCUUUUUUUGUCUUAUUUAUUUAUUUAUUUUCUUUCUCU